UCCUCUCCGCCAUCUUGGCUCCUCUCCAAGGAGUGAAGGGGAAUUAAAGACAUUCACAGAUGAGUGAAAACUAAGAGUAUGUGCCAUCAGCAGAUCUACCCUGAAAAGAACAGCUAACAAAAAUUCUGUAAACCAAAAGGAAAUU